rfam:Tupaia chinensis contig117310, whole genome shotgun sequence.
UGGAUUGAUGAUGACUACUGGUUACGUAUGAGUUACAUAUGAUGCACGUGUGUCUGGAACUCUGAAGUCCAU